AGUGAACGCUGGCGGUAGGCCUAACACAUGCAAGUCGAACGGCAGCACAGUAAGAGCUUGCUCUUACGGGUGGCGAGUGGCGGACGGGUGAGGAAUACAUCGGAAUCUACUUUUUCGUGGGGGAUAACGUAGGGAAACUUACGCUAAUACCGCAUACGACCUACGGGUGAAAGCAUGGGAUCUUCGGACCUUGCGCGAUUGAAUGAGCGGAUGUCGGAUUAGCUAGUUGGCGGGGUAAAGGCCCACCAAGGCGACGAUCCGUAGCUGGUCUGAGAGGAUGAUCAGCCACCCUGGAACUGAGACACGGUCCAGACUCCUAAGGGAGGCAGCAGUGGGGAAUAUUGGACAAUGGGCGCAAGCCUGCUCCAGCCAUACCGCGUGGGUGAAGAAGGCCUUCGGGUUGUAAAGCCCUUUUGUUGGGAAAGAAAAGCAGCAGGUUAAUACCCCGCUGUUCUGACGGUACCCAAAGAAUAAGCACCGGCUAACUUCGUG
rnacentral:rRNA from 1 species